rnacentral:rRNA from 1 species
AUUGAACGCUGGCGGCAUGCCUUACACAUGCAAGUCGAACGGUAACAGGUCUUCGGAUGCUGACGAGUGGCGAACGGGUGAGUAAUACAUCGGAACGUGCCUAGUAGUGGGGGAUAACUACUCGAAAGAGUGGCUAAUACCGCAUGAGAUCUACGGAUGAAAGCAGGGGAUCGCAAGACCUUGUGCUACUAGAGCGGCCGAUGGCAGAUUAGGUAGUUGGUGGGAUAAAAGCUUACCAAGCCGACGAUCUGUAGCUGGUCUGAGAGGACGAUCAGCCACACUGGGACUGAGACACGGCCCAGACUCCUACGGGAGGCAGCAGUGGGGAAUUUUGGACAAUGGGCGCAAGCCUGAUUCAGUAAUGCCGCGUGCAGGAUGAAGGCCUUCGGGUUGUAAACUGCUUUUGUACGGAACGAAAAGCCCUGGGUUAAUACCCUGGGGUCAUGACGGUACCGUAAGAAUAAGCACCGGCUAACUACGUGCCAGCCGCCGCGGUAAUAC